GACGGGGCCCGGCACAAGCGGAGGAGCAUGUGGUUUAAUUCGAUGAUACGCGAGGAACCUUACCUGGGCUCGAACGUAAGAUGACUGUAGGUGAAAGCUUACAUCUCUUCGGAGCAUUUUACGAGGUGCUGCAUGGUUGUCGUCAGCUCGUGCCGUGAGGUGUCGGGUUAAGUCCCAUAACGAGCGCAACCCCUACCUUUAGUUGCCAUCAGGUUAAGCUGGGGACUCUAAAGGAACUGCCUACGCAAGUAGUGAGGAAGCGGGGAUGACGUCAAAUCAGCACGGCCCUUACGUCCAGGGCUACACACGUGCUACAAUGGCCGAUACAGAGGGCAGCUACCUGGUGACAGGAUGCAAAUCUCCAAAGUCGGUCUCAGUUCGGAUCGGAGUCUGCAACCCGACUCCGUGAAGUUGGAUUCGCUAGUAAUCGCGCAUCAGCCAUGGCGCGGUGAAUACGUUCCCGGGCCUU
rnacentral:rRNA from 1 species